rnacentral:lncRNA from 10 species
GUGGGGUAAAAGAAUGGUAUUUAUUCAGGCCUAAUAUUGAGGCUUGGGGCUGGGCUGUAUAUCAGAGGGCAUGCAUAGACAAAGCUGAACAAAGGGGCACACCUACUGGGCACCUGCUGGGCACUUCUCUAAAAGUGGCACUGAGACAUCAUUAGGAUGAAUUAGAACUAGGGCACCAGUUAACCCGGGCCUGCAUGCUAGUGAAAGGAAAAUUGCGCCUCUCCCUCAACCCUGCUCCAGACAACUGAAUGGUGACUUCAAGAACAAAUAUUCAGGCUGGGUGCGGUGGCUCACACCUGUAAUCCCAACACUUUUGGAGGCUGAGGUGAGUGGAUCACCUGAGGUCAGGAGUUCGAGACUAGCCUGGCCAACAUGGUGAAACCCUGUUUCUACUAAAGAUACAAAAAUUAGCUGGGCGUGGUGGUGGGUGCCAGUAAUCUCAGCUAGGAGGCUGAGGCAGGAGAAUCGCUUGAGCCUGGGAGGCAGAGGUUGUUGAGAUGGUGCCAUUGCACUUCAGCCUGGACGACAAGAGCAUAACUCUGUCUCAAAAAAAAA